AUAAACCCUCUGACAUUCAUCAUAAACCCUCUGACACUCAUCAAUAUACAAAGAAAGGAAUGGGCUGUGCCUGCUUUCUGAUUCCCAGAGAGAACUGUCCAGUCAAUCACACGGGAACUGAUUGGUCCUCACAUUCAGUUGCUGCCCACCAAGCCUCUGACACCAGGUACACCUGACCAGGACAGGGCAAGGAGCAGGUAGCUCUGGCCAUCCUUUUUCUAGAUGUCCCAUCUGCCCAUCCAUUGUGUCCCCCAUGCUUCCUGGUAAUAAACUUGGUUUUGUUCC
rnacentral:lncRNA from 1 species